rnacentral:rRNA from 1 species
AGAGUUUGAUCCUGGCUCAGAUUGAACGCUGGCGGCAUGCUUUACACAUGCAAGUCGAACGGUAACAGGUCUUCGGAUGCUGACGAGUGGCGAACGGGUGAGUAAUACAUCGGAACGUGCCUAGUAGUGGGGGAUAACUACUCGAAAGAGUAGCUAAUACCGCAUGAGAUCUACGGAUGAAAGCAGGGGACCUUUGGGCCUUGUGCUACUAGAGCGGCUGAUGGCAGAUUAGGUAGUUGGUGGGGUAAAGGCUUACCAAGCCUGCGAUCUGUAGCUGGUCUGAGAGGACGACCAGCCACACUGGGACUGAGACACGGCCCAGACUCCUACGGGAGGCAGCAGUGGGGAAUUUUGGACAAUGGGCGAAAGCCUGAUCCAGCAAUGCCGCGUGCAGGAUGAAGGCCCUCGGGUUGUAAACUGCUUUUGUACGGAACGAAAAGCCUGGGGCUAAUAUCCCCGGGUCAUGACGGUACCGUAAGAAUAAGCACCGGCUAACCACGUGCCAGCAGCCGCGGUAAUACGUAGGGUGCAAGCGUUAAUCGGAAUUACUGGGCGUAAAGCGUGCGCAGGCGGUUCUGUAAGACAGUGGUGAAAUCCCCGGGCUCAACCUGGGAACUGCCAUUGUGACUGCAAGGCUAGAGUGCGGCAGAGGGGGAUGGAAUUCCGCGUGUAGCAGUGAAAUGCGUAGAUAUGCGGAGGAACACCGAUGGCGAAGGCAAUCCCCUGGGCCUGCACUGACGCUCAUGCACGAAAGCGUGGGGAGCAAACAGGAUUAGAUACCCUGGUAGUCCACGCCCUAAACGAUGUCAACUGGUUGUUGGGUCUUAACUGACUCAGUAACGAAGCUAACGCGUGAAGUUGACCGCCUGGGGAGUACGGGCCGCAAGGUUUGAG